GGCCCAUUUCGCUCCCUUAUACUUCCUACUUUUCCUACUUUUCUCACUGUUCUCUUAUCUUGCUCCUCCAGAGUAAUCUGGUCUUCGUGCUGUAGUGAGCCAAAUGUUAAUAGUAGUGACAUACAUAGGAUAAUAGCGAAAGCUAGUCCUGCUAGAGUUUAUAUUUCUUAAAAUUUGUCUUGUUGCUACCUGGUGUCGUCCCUUUCUGUCUCGAACUUCCAAUACGAGCGGACGUCACCAAGCAGCACAGCAAGUCAUACCUAAGGGUGCCGUACAAAGAUAGAAAGGGCUUUUAUUUAAAUCACUAUAUGGAAUUAUUGACGGGACUGGUACAUAGAAGUAAAAGGAAUAACGGAGAUAUUUGGCAAUCGAUGUGAUCGCAUACGUCCCUGAUAAUUUGAACAUCAACCAGUAAAAAGGAAUAUCGCAAACAAUUCCUCCAUAAUUUUAUCAACGGCUACGAAGUACAUCAUGUUUUCGGAACAACGUACAGCUAAGCGAUAUUAUUUAUUUUAGUUUGGUUUUUGUAAUUUGUAAUGUAAGUGUGGGUCAUGAGUGUUAUGGAAUGGGUCAUGAAUGUUAUAUCUUAAAAUCGCCUUAUUUAAUCAAAUAUGUUCUUAUUGAAUUCAUUUGUCAUUGUGUGUUCAUUUAUAUUUUUUGAAUUGUGUUAAUUUGGACAUAAAUUAAUUCAGCUAAUAA